UACGAAGGGGGCUAGCGUUGUUCGGAUUUACUGGGCGUAAAGGGCGCGUAGGCGGAUUUUUAAGUCGGGGGUGAAAUCCCGGAGCUCAACUCCGGAACUGCCUUCGAUACUGAAAGUCUGGAGAACGGUAGAGGUGAGUGGAAUUCCGAGUGUAGAGGUGAAAUUCGUAGAUAUUCGGAGGAACACCAGUGGCGAAGGCGGCCCUCUGGACCGUUGCUGACGCUGAAGUGCGAAAGCGUGGGGAGCAAACAGG
rnacentral:rRNA from 1 species